GAUGAACGCUGGCGGCGUGCCUAAUACAUGCAAGUCGAGCGAACAGAUAAGGAGCUUGCUCCUUUGAAGUUAGCGGCGGACGGGUGAGUAACACGUGGGUAACCUACCUAUAAGACUGGGAUAACUUCGGGAAACCGGAGCUAAUACCGGAUAACAUUUAGAACCGCAUGGUUCUAAAGUGAAAGAUGGUUUUGCUAUUACUUAUAGAUGGACCCGCGCCGUAUUAGCUAGUUGGUAAGGUAACGGCUUACCAAGGCGACGAUACGUAGCCGACCUGAGAGGGUGAUCGGCCACACUGGAACUGAGACACGGUCCAGACUCCUACGGGAGGCAGCAGUAGGGAAUCUUCCGCAAUGGGCGAAAGCCUGACGGAGCAACGCCGCGUGAGUGAUGAAGGGUUUCGGCUCGUAAAACUCUGUUAUUAGGGAAGAACAAAUGUGUAAGUAACUGUGCACAUCUUGACGGUACCUAAUCAGAAAGCCACGGCUAACUACGUG
rnacentral:rRNA from 1 species